UACGGGGGGGGUAAGCGUUGUUCGGAAUUACUGGGCGUAAAGGGCUCGUAGGCGGCCAACUAAGUCAGACGUGAAAUCCCUCAGCUUAACUGGGGAACUGCGUCUGAUACUGGAUGGCUUGGAUCCGGAAGAGGGAUGCGGAAUUCCAGGUGUAGCGGUGAAAUGCGUAGAUAUCGGGAGGAACACCUGUGGCGAAGGCGACCCCCUGGUUGGAUACUGACGCUGAGACGCGAAAGCGUGGGGAGCAAACAGG
rnacentral:rRNA from 1 species